GCACAAGCGGUGGAGCAUGUGGUUUAAUUCGAUGCAACGCGAAGAACCUUACCUGGUCUUGACAUCCACGGAAGUUUUCAGAGAUGAGAAUGUGCCUUCGGGAACCGUGAGACAGGUGCUGCAUGGCUGUCGUCAGCUCGUGUUGUGAAAUGUUGGGUUAAGUCCCGCAACGAGCGCAACCCUUAUCCUUUGUUGCCAGCGGUCCGGCCGGGAACUCAAAGGAGACUGCCAGUGAUAAACUGGAGGAAGGUGGGAUGACGUCAAGUCAUCAUGGCCCUUACGACCAGGGCUACACACGUGCUACAAUGGCGCAUACAAAGAGAAGCGACCUCGCGAGAGCAAGCGGACCUCAUAAAGUGCGUCGUAGUCCGGAUUGGAGUCUGCAACUCGACUCCAUGAAGUCGGAAUCGCUAGUAAUCGUGGAUCAGAAUGCCACGGUGAAUACGUUCCCGGGCCUU
rnacentral:rRNA from 1 species